rnacentral:lncRNA from 13 species
CUCAAGAAUAUAAGGCACUAUCAGCUGGAGAAACUAUUGCGUUUUCAUCAGAAAUCCAGCAGCACCAUGCUUCUUUGACUUAAGUGUCAUUAUUCCCAUUUUAGAAGUGAGGGAGCUGCAUCUCAGACAGGGUUUCUGGAGUUCCUAUUGAUGUAGACUAAUAGGAAGAAUAUCUGGAGUAUGGAAUAACCGGGGUUCAGGGUUUACUGUCUGGUGUCAUUAGAAUGACUUAUGGAAGCCAUGGAGGAAUAAUGCUAAAGUUAUCACUAUUGCUUUUCUAACUCAGCUCUGUGAGUUAGACACUAAGCCUGUGCCUAUAAGAUCCUCACAGAGAGUUGAUCCUGCGACGCUGUAAAAAGAAGAGAGGCCACAGUUAUAACAUGGAAAAUAAUGUUAAUGGGAAUUAUUACUUUUCCUCCUGUGUCUGACAACCUAUAUAGAAGGAACUUCUGUCUCUCAGAGUUUUUAAAACCGGCAAUCUGAAACCAAUAAUGUUCAUUUCAAAGAGCAUGGAAAAGAAGGAAAGCCCUGCAUUUCUCAGCUGAAUGUCCUUGAAAAAGUUACGUCACUUCUCUGAAGAUUUCCCAUCUAUAAAAAACUGCCUACCACACAUUUUACCAAAAAGAGCACAUCUGCAUAUACACAAAGUACACAAACCUGCUGGUUCACCAAAAAUUUCAUCAGCAAAAGAGUUCAAGGCAAGUUGGUUACUUGUUCACUUGCUUUAUUUGUUGUUCCCUAAAACUAUCCAGAACUGGGACCAAGUCAUGGUUGAUAAAGGAAAAGCAGUAAUGUUGAGGAUGUGGAGGGAAAGAAAGUGCAGAUAAAAAUUUAUUUGAGACUGAUAACAAAUGGAGUUACUUUUAUUUAUGUGGCCCUUCUUCAUGCCAGUUUCUAGGGACUCUCAAGGAAUCUCUGAAAUUACUACAUAAUCCAUCACCAGAGAAUUUGGAGGAACUGGAAGCCCCUGUGUCCCAGAACCAGUGCACCAAGGAUUAAGAGCAUGUUAGGAGUCGCCAGUCACUUCAGUCUGGGAGGUUAGGAUGCUUUUAGAUCUAGGUCUGGUGUGUCUGAGAUUAGCUCUAAACACAUAUUUUUGGUGAAUCUCAGCUAUUAAUUUGUCUUCACUGCAUGUCUCAGACGUGGGGACCUAGCCUUCAUCUCAGAGUUUUGCUGAGACUCCAGAUACCUGACAAUGGCCCCUUGAACCCAGAUGUCCUGAUUUGUCUCUGUCACCUUCUGUCCUACAGAGUUAGCCUUUGCCUACCUCCCAUUCAGGUCCCUUAUUCAUAACAGACUGAAAAUGAUUAUUGUGGAUACUCAGGGGCCAACUGGAAUAUGACCACCAGCUAAAUUCCUGACAUAAUCACUGAUUGGAAUCAGAGGUAAAGUGUUUCGCCUAUGGGCUUGGGCCUAGCGCAGCCUAAGUUUUGUAUGCCCCUUCAGACACUACAUUAAAUUCCAGUGUCUCUCAGAUUGGGUCAGUCCUGCCUCCCCAGUCCUCUCCUGUCUUGCUUUCUUAUUCCUUCCCACUUGAGUUCCAAAAUGCCUCGUUACUUAUCAGGACAUCCCAAACUAGUUCUUUGCUAUUUGCAAUAAUACUGUAGGCUCUCAUCAGUUAAAAAAACAAACAAAGCCAACACAACCAAAAAAUGCU